rnacentral:lncRNA from 1 species
CCUGUUACCUCCUGGUAGAGUAAUACUUGGCCUAAAGGAGACAGCUGCCUUGCCAAAUGCAAACCCAGGGAACACCGCAGAAGCAGGGCAGGGAAGACAGUAGGAGCCAAGAGUGAGGGAGAUCAUCCCCAGCGUCUGGCAGGACCACACUGAUCUAUCCAUGCUGAGGAGAAUCAUGCUCUAGGUUCCUGUCCAUCGACCAGGAGCUGAGAGGAUCCAUCACCCCAACAACAAUUAAAAAGAUUGACUGCCUAUUAGCACAGGCGCUGCGGUAUCUUCUCAUCUGAAAUUACGC